GGGCUGUUGGUCUAGUGGUAUGAUUCUCGCUUUGGGCUUCCUGAUUGGAUGACAAAGGUGUUGCGAGAGGUCCCGGGUUCAAACCCCGGACAGCCCC